GUGUCAGCCGCCGCGGUAAGACGGAAGGUGCAAGCGUUGCUCGGAAUCACUGGGCGUAAAGGGUGCGUAGGCGGCUUGGUGGGUCUGGCGUGAAAGCCCAGGGCUCAGCCCUGGAAGGGCGCUAGAAACUGCCGAGCUGGAGUGCCGGAGGGGAGAGUGGAAUUCCUGGUGUAGCGGUGAAAUGCGUAGAUAUCAGGAGGAAUACCGGUGGCGAAAGCGACUCUCUGGACGGCAACUGACGCUGAGGCACGAAAGCGUGGGGAGCAAACAGGAUUAGAUACCCUGGUAGUCCACGCCGUAAACGAUGGGCACUAGGUGUCGGGGGUAUCCACUCCCUCGGUGCCGCCGCUAACGCAUUAAGUGUCCCGCCUGGGAAGUACGGUCGCAAGAUUAAA
rnacentral:rRNA from 1 species